rnacentral:rRNA from 1 species
CGUCGCCACGGGAAUACGAAGGGUGCAAGCGUUACUCGGAAUUACUAGGCGUAAAGCGUGCGUAGGUGGUUGUUUAAGUCUGCUGUGAAAGCCCUGGGCUCAACCUGGGAAUUGCAGUGGAUACUGGGCAACUAGAGUAAGGUAGAGGAUAGUGGAAUUUCCGGUGUAGCAGUGAAAUGCGUAGGGAUCGGAAGGAACAUCUGUGGCGAAGGCGACUAUCUGGGCCAUUACUGACACUGAGGCACGAAAGCGUGGGGAGCAAACAGGAUUAGAUACCCGCGUAGUCCCUGUCUCUUAUACA